rnacentral:rRNA from 1 species
GCAGUCGAGGGGCAGCGAGUCUAGCUUGCUAGAUGUCGGCGACCGGCGCACGGGUGCGCACCGCGUAUGGAACCUACCUUCUACAGGGGAAUAGCCCAGGGAAACUUGGAUUAAUGCCCCGUGGCACUGUUACAUGGCAUCAUGUUUCAGUUAAAGCCUUCGGGCGGUAGAAGAUGGCCAUGCGUCCCAUUAGCUUGAUGGUAAGGUAACGGCUUACCAUGGCUACGAUGGGUAGGGGCCCUGAGAGGGGGAUCCCCCACACUGGUACUGAGACACGGACCAGACUCCUACGGGAGGCAGCAGUGAGGAAUAUUGGACAAUGGAGGAGACUCUGAUCCAGCCAUGCCGCGUGCAGGAAGAAUGCCCUAUGGGUAGUAAACUGCUUUUAUACGGGAAGAAAAAGGGCUACGUGUAGCCUACUGACGGUACCGUAAGAAUAAGGACCGGCUAACUCCGUGCCAGCAGCCGCGGUAAUACGGAGGGUCCGAGCGUUAUCCGGAAUUAUUGGGUUUAAAGGGUCCGUAGGCGGGCCGAUAAGUCAGGGGUGAAAGUCUGCCGCUCAACGGUAGAACUGCCUUUGAUACUGUCGGUCUUGAGUUAUAGUGAAGUUGCCGGAAUAUGUAGUGUAGCGGUGAAAUGCAUAGAUAUUACAUAGAACACCGAUUGCGAAGGCAGGUGACUAACUAUAUACUGACGCUGAUGGACGAAAGCGUGGGGAGCGAACAGGAUUAGAUACCCUGGUAGUCCACGCCGUAAACGAUGGAUACUAGCUGUCCGGGUCCUUGAGACCUGGGCGGCCAAGCGAAAGUGAUAAGUAUCCCACCUGGGGAGUACGUUCGCAAGAAUGAAACUCAAAGGAAUUGACGGGGGCCCGCACAAGCGGUGGAGCAUGUGGUUUAAUUCGAUGAUACGCGAGGAACCUUACCAGGGCUUAAAUGCAUAUUGACAGGGGUAGAGAUACCUUUUCCUUCGGGCAAUUUGCAAGGUGCUGCAUGGUUGUCGUCAGCUCGUGCCGUGAGGUGUCAGGUUAAGUCCUAUAACGAGCGCAACCCCUACCGUUAGUUGCCAGCAUGUCAUGAUGGGGACUCUAACGGGACUGCCGGUGCAAACCGUGAGGAA